GAUGAACGCUGGCGGCGUGCCUAACGCAUGCAAGUCGAACGAAGCUUGACGGAUGAUUUCUUCGGAAUGAAACCAGAUAUGACUUAGUGGCGGACGGGUGAGUAACACGUGAGCAACCUGCCUUUCAGAGGGGGAUAACGGCUGGAAACGGUCGCUAAUACCGCAUGAAGUGUUCGGAUGGCAUCAUCUGAACAUCAAAGAUUUAUCGCUGAAAGAUGGGCUCGCGUCUGAUUAGAUAGUUGGUGGGGUAACGGCCUACCAAGUCGACGAUCAGUAGCCGGACUGAGAGGUUGAACGGCCACAUUGGGACUGAGAUACGGCCCAGACUCCUACGGGAGGCAGCAGUGGGGAAUAUUGCACAAUGGGGGGAAACCCUGAUGCAGCAACGCCGCGUGAAGGAUGACGGUUUUCGGAUUGUAAACUUCUUUUCUUAGUGACGAAGACAGUGACGGUAGCUAAGGAAUAAGCAUCGGCUAACUACGUGCCAG
rnacentral:rRNA from 1 species